UACGGAAGGCAGCAGUGGGGAAUAUUGCACAAUGGGCGCAAGCCUGAUGCAGCCAUGCCGCGUGUAUGAAGAAGGCCUUCGGGUUGUAAAGUACUUUCAGUCGUGAGGAAGGUGUUAAGGUUAAUAACCUUAGCAAUUGACGUUAGCGACAGAAGAAGCACCGGCUAACUCCGUGCCAGCAGCCGCGGUAAUACGGAGGGUGCGAGCGUUAAUCGGAAUUACUGGGCGUAAAGGGCACGCAGGCGGUUAAUUAAGUUGGAUGUGAAAUCCCCGGGCUUAACCUGGGAAUGGCAUUCAAGACUGGUUAGCUAGAGUCUUGUAGAGGGGGUAGAAUUCCAUGUAUAGCGGUGAAAUGCGUAGAGAUGUGGAGGAAUACCGGUGGCGAAGGCGGCCCCUGGGACAAAGGACUGACGCUCAUGUGCGAAAGCGUGGGGAGCGAAACAGGGAUUAGAUACC
rnacentral:rRNA from 1 species